CAUAAUCGAUCCCUGAAAUCCCGCGCAGUUUUCUCCCCCACAAACCCACAAAUCAAUCUGAUACCGUUGGGUUUUCUCCUCCACAAAUCAAACUGUGGCGGCUGAUCUAUUCUCUUUGUAUGGGUACUGGUCUGAUUUCAUCGAUGGUACGGCUCACCAGCGACAACAUCCACAAGUAUUGAUCAUACGUGAGCAUGCAUCCUCCACGCCAACCAAUCAGGUAGAUUCUAUCAACAUGAUUGAGACUACACUCUGCCUACAAAUCCUAGCCAAGUCAUCAAUGGAUUCCAUCCUGAUGGCAUAACUUAUAGUUGAGGAGGAGGACCACUAGCAGAACCAAGGGAUCUUGGGGCAUGAGUUUUGUCAAUCAAUGGCUAAGGAAUUUUGGACUGAUGUCAUGCGCCGAAGGGAAUGAAUCAAGUGUUUGUAACACAUUGUUGGUUAACAUACAAUAUCUUGUAGAAUGGAGCAAAUUUGUAACAUGCAUGAAACAUGUGGUAUGAAAGUGCGAAGCUGCCUUAAGGACCGUAAUCCUCACUUGAUGUUGAUUCUCUUAGGAUUAGGGCCACUAAGUAAAAUGGCUUGUCUUUAAAGAACACGGAAGCAUCUUCGCUCGUA